UACGUAGGGCGCAAGCGUUGUCCGGAAUUAUUGGGCUUAAAGAGCUCGUAGGCGGCUUGGCACGUCGGGUGUGAAAGCCCGGGGCUUAACCCCGGGUCUGCAUUCGAUACGGGCUAGCUAGAGUGUGGUAGGGGAGAUCGGAAUUCCUGGUGUAGCGGUGAAAUGCGCAGAUAUCAGGAGGAACACCGGUGGCGAAGGCGGAUCUCUGGGCCAUUACUGACGCUGAGGAGCGAAAGCGUGGGGAGCGAACAGG
rnacentral:rRNA from 1 species